AUCGCGUCGCCCCCCAACACCGUGCAUGAAACAUUGCCGGUCGUAGGAGGGGCGGACAUUGGCUUCCCGUUCUUCGGUGCGGCUGGCCUAAAUGCGAGUCCCUUGCGACGGACACGACGACAAGUGGUGGUUGAUUUCCUCAACUAAGGYGUGUCGCUCGCUGACCCGUCGGAUGAGGAGACUACCUUGACCCUANAUGACGUCUUCACGACGCCUGCCACGACCGC
rnacentral:rRNA from 1 species